CAGAGGGUGCAAACGUUGUUCGGAAUUACUGGGCGUAAAGCGCGUGUAGGCGGCUCGGAAAGUCGGAUGUGAAAGCCCUGGGCUUAACCUAGGAAGUGCAUUCGAAACUCCCGAGCUUGAGUUCUGGAGAGGAAGGCGGAAUUCUCGGUGUAGAGGUGAAAUUCGUAGAUAUCGAGAGGAACACCGGUGGCGAAGGCGGCCUUCUGGACAGUGACUGACGCUGAGACGCGAAAGCGUGGGGAGCAAACAGGAUUAGAUACCCUGGUAGUCCACGCCGUAAACGAUGAGUGCUAGGUGUCGCGGGCUUUGACCCCUGCGGUGCCGCAGCUAACGCAUUAAGCACUCCGCCUGGGGAGUACGGCCGCAAGGCUA
rnacentral:rRNA from 1 species